rnacentral:rRNA from 1 species
UACGAAGGGGGGCUAGCGUUGUUCGGAAUUACUGGGCGUAAAGCGCGCGUAGGCGGACGUUUAAGUCAGGGGGUGAAAUGCCGGGGCUCAACCUCGGAACUGCCUUUGAUACUGGACGUCUGGAGUUCGGGAGAGGUGAGUGGAAUUCCGAGUGUAGAGGUGAAAUUCGUAGAUAUUCGCAAGAACACCAGUGGCGAAGGCGGCUCACUGGCCCGAUACUGACGCUGAGGCACGGAAAGCGUGGGGAGCAAACAGG